AGAGACCGGCGCACGGGUGCGUAACGCGUAUGCAAUCUACCUUUCACAAAGGGAUAGCCCAGAGAAAUUUGGAUUAAUACCUUAUAGUAAUACGACUUGGCAUCAAGAUGUAUUUAAAGAUUUAUCGGUGAAAGAUGAGCAUGCGUCCCAUUAGCUAGUUGGUAAGGUAACGGCUUACCAAGGCAACGAUGGGUAGGGGUCCUGAGAGGGAGAUCCCCCACACUGGUACUGAGACACGGACCAGACUCCUACGGGAGGCAGCAGUGAGGAAUAUUGGACAAUGGGCGCAAGCCUGAUCCAGCCAUGCCGCGUGCAGGAUGACGGUCCUAUGGAUUGUAAACUGCUUUUAUACGAGAAGAAACACCUCUACGAGUAGAGACUUGACGGUAUCGUAAGAAUAAGGAUCGGCUAACUCCGUGCCAGCAGCCGCGGUAAUACGGAGGAUCCAAGCGUUAUCCGGAAUCAUUGGGUUUAAAGGGUCCGUAGGCGGUCAGAUAAGUCAGUGGUGAAAGCCCAUCGCUCAACGGUGGA
rnacentral:rRNA from 1 species